GGCAGUUAGUUCAGCUGGUUAAAGUGUGGUGCUGAUAAUGCCAAGGUUGUGGGUUCAGUUCCCAUGUGGGCCA